AUACGGAGGGUGCAAGCGUUGUUCGGAAUUACUGGGCGUAAAGCGCGUGCAGGCGGUAAGGUAAGUCAGAUGUGAAAGCCCCGGGCUCAACCCGGGAAGUGCAUUUGAUACUGCCUUUCUAGAGUAUGGGAGAGGAGAGUGGAAUUCCCAGUGUAGAGGUGAAAUUCGUAGAUAUUGGGAGGAACACCCGUGGCGAAGGCGACUCUCUGGACCAAUACUGACGCUGAGACGCGUAAGCGUGGGGAGCGAACAGGAUUAGAAACCCCGGUAGUCC
rnacentral:rRNA from 1 species